CCCUUAGAUGUCCUGGGCCGCACGCGUGCUACACUGACGCAUACAGCGAGCACUUUCCAGUUCCGAGAGGCUACUGGUAAUCAUCAAUAUGCGUCGUGAUGGGGAUAGAUCUUUGGAAUUCUGGAUCUUGAACGAGGAAUGCCUAGUAAUCGCAGGUCAUUAGCAUGCGAUGAUUAAGUCCCUGCCCUUUGUACACACCGCCCGUCGCUACUACCGAUUUCGAGUGGUCAGGUGAAUCUUUCGGACUGUGGGCGCCCUUGAGGUGUUCGCGGAAAGUCAGGUAAAUCUUAUCACUUAGAGGAAGUAAAAGUCGUAACA
rnacentral:rRNA from 1 species